rnacentral:rRNA from 1 species
CAGUCGCCACGGGAAUACGAAGGGGGCUAGCGUUGCCCGGAAUCACUGGGCGUAAAGGGUGCGUAGGCGGGUCUUUAAGUCAGGGGUGAAAUCCUGGAGCUCAACUCCAGAACUGCCUUUGAUACUGAAGAUCUUGAGUUCGGGAGAGGUGAGUGGAACUGCGAGUGUAGAGGUGAAGUUCGUAGAUAUUCGCAAGAACACCAGUGGCGAAGGCGGCUCACUGGCCCGAUACUGACGCUGAGGCACGAAAGCGUGGGGAGCAAACAGGAUUAGAUACCCGUGUAGUCCCUGUCUCUUAUAC